AAUUGAAUAUGACCAUUCGGUGUAUUUUACAUAACAGGGAAUUAAGUUACAUUCUUAAGCUGUCCCAGCAACCGUGAAACGGACGAAAUGCAAAUAAGCCACUGCCAAAAGCGGGAAGGUGCAAAGUAGGAUGAUGUUAAGCCGGGAGACCUACCGAAAAAGUCAAAUCAAG
rfam:Tenericutes bacterium GWD2_38_27 gwd2_scaffold_1308, whole genome shotgun sequence.